AGCACAGACAGACAGGUAAUGAGCUACACCUGUCCUCGGUCAUGUGACUCAGCUGGUCUGCUCUGCAGGACAGAAUUGGGGCAGGUGAGACGUGUUACACCGAAUGGAGGAAACAAGACCCGCCAUGUAUUGUAUAUGAGAGAGGAAAUGAAAAGAUCCUUUCUGGUUCAUCACACCUCAACAAAACCUGCAACAACGACUUCAAACUAAAAGUUGAAUCAACAACCAAAGUCUGCCCAUUGUGUGCACAUCGCAGACCUACCUGGAUGAAGAUCCGAGCAAGCUGUUUUCUUUUCUGCUGCAAAGACUUUGAAGAUUAAACGAGGAGGAAAUCCUUUGUGGGAGAUGUCAACUGCGGCUCCUCUCCUAAACCUUACCGCUUACAGCUUUCCUGCGAUGCAUUUCAGGUGAUGGCGAAGGCGAUGGCAGACAGUCCAGGUGUGAGGAUGUGGAAUUAUUUUUCUUCUGGAUUUGCUCUUCCGUAAGAUCGAGAAAUUUGGUUAUUGACAGUCCAGCAACCGGCUGCUUAUACCUUGCAUACUGAAGAGCAUCCAUGAUCCACCGCACUUCACGCCAAAUUUCAUCUGUUUGCUAUUAAAACAUGAAAAUGUAAAAAUAUAUUUACGUUGAAGCUCUCAUAUUAUCCUACAUAUAUAUAUUUGGUAUGGCAGCAUUACACAAACAUUUUAAAACUCUAGAACACCACCCCCUUACUGUGUUUUUAAAAAAGAUGUCUACUGUUAGAAAAGGUGUAAGACCGAGCACAGCAGCCAUACACAGAGGAGUGGUUGCACGCACCAAAGCUGGAAUGGUGGGUUGUGUGAAGCACUUUCCUUUCACAGGUGGGGCACCAGUAGUCUUGAAUCACCUCAGGAAGAAAAGACUAUUCUCCUGAGUCUUUGACGACUGAGGAAGUCUACCUGCCAAUUUUCCAUGCCGUGCACAGUGGACUGGGCUGGAACAGGAAGUCUGAUUGGAGUCUCUGUGAGACCUCUGCUACCUCCCUGAUGGUUGAUGUAAGCCACUGCCAAUGGUGUUUUUCCGGCUUAAUCCUGGUCAAAAGACCUAGUUAAGAGGUCCAACAUUGAAGGGGAAACCAAUGCUUGACCUCUUGCACCAA